rnacentral:lncRNA from 1 species
GCCAGCAGCAUCUUAUGCCCACCUCCUUCUGUUCUGCUCUCACAGCACUUCCUCACAGCCCUGGGCGGCCUCGUGGCCGUGCCGCUCAUCCUGGCCAAGGACCUGUGCCUGCAGCAUGACCCCCUGACCCAAAGCUACCUCAUCAGCACCAUUUUCUUUGUCUCAGGCAUCUGCACCCUCUUGCAAGUGCUUUUAGGGGUCAGGCUGCCCAUUCUUCAAGGAGGGACCUUCGCCUUCGUGGCUCCCUCUCUGGCCAUGCUCUCUCUUCCUGCCUGGAAAUGCCCAGAGUGGACUCUCAAUGCCAGCCUGGUGAACACCAGCUCUCCUGAAUUCACCGAGGAGUGGCAGAAGAGGAUCCGAGAGUUGCAGGGCGCUGUCAUGGUGGCUUCC